AUGACUGUGGUGCAGUGGUUAAAAUACUGGACUAAAACUCCAGAGACCUGAGUUCAAAUCCCAUUCAGAUAUU